UCGUUUCUUUGUGGCACCGUCAAAAUUUUAUUUGGAUUGAAGAAAUUUUGACAGCCAUGGUAGUGCCAAAAUUUCUUCCAUGCAAACAAAAAUUUUAUCUUCCUUUCGCCAUGGAUUUCCAUACCUUGUCAAGGAGAGAGUUCCAAGCCUCAAGAGAUAAGGCUGAAGAAAUCGAGGAGAUUUUGUACGGUUGAAGGAAUCGACCAGUUUUCGAGCGUUUAUAGAUCUGGAGUACCUGAAUCGCCGAUAAAAGCAGAGGCGGAAAUUUCACGAAUUGCAUUGAGAUCUUCGAAAAGAAGAAAGGCCCUAAAAGAUGAAGCGUUGAAGGAAUCGACCAGUUUUCGAGCCUUGAUAGAUCUGGAGUACCUGAAUCGCCGAUAAAAGCAGAGGCGGAAAUUUCACGAACUGCAUUGAGAUCUUCGAAAAGAAGAAAGGCCCUAAAAGAUGAAGCGUAUAAUAUAAUUCUACUGUGUUAUGAGGUAAAUAAGAUUUUUCUAGGGUUUUUGAAAGUUUAUUUAGAUAUUUCGUUAUUUGCUCUUGGUAUAGGUUGAAGGAAUCGACCAAUUUUCGAGCCUUGGUAGAUCUGGAGUACCUGAAUCGUCCAUGAAAGCAGAGGCGGAAAUUCCACGAACUGCAUUGAGAUCUUCGGAAAGAAGAAAGGCCCUAAAAGAUGAAGCGUAUUUAUUCUACUGUGUUAUGAGGUAAAUAAGUUUUUUCUAGGGUUUUUAAAAGUUUAUUUAGAUAUUUCGUUAUUUGCUCUUGGUAUAGGUUGAAGGAAUCGACCAAUUUUCGAGCCUUGGUAGAUCUGGAGUACCUGAAUCGCCGAUGAAAGCAGAGGCGAAAAUUCCACGAACUGCAUUGAGAUCUUCGAAAAGAAGAAAGGCCCUAAAAGAUGAAGCGUAUAAUAUAAUUCUACUGUGUUAUGAGGUAAAUAGGAUUUUUCUAGGGUUUUUCAAAGUUUAUUUAGAUAUUUCGUUAUUUGCUCUUGGUAUAGGUUGAAGGAAUCGACCAGUUUUUGAGCCUUGAUAGAUCUGGAGUACCUGAAUCGCCGUUGAAAGCAGAGGCGGAAAUUCCACCUACUGCAUUGAGAUCUUCAGAAAGAAGAAAGGCGGAAAGAAGAAAGGCCCUAAAAGAUGAAGCGUAUUAAUUGUGUUAUGAGGUAAAUAAGUUUUUUCUAGGUUUUUGAAAGUUAAUUUAGAUAUUUCGUUGUUUGCUCUUGGUAUAGGUUGAAGGAAUCGACCAGUUUUCGAGCCUUGAUAGAUAUGGAGUACCUGAAUCGCUGAUGAAAGCAGAGGUUAUUUCCUCGGAAAUUCCACGAUCUACAUUGAGAUCUUCGAAAAGAAGAAAGGCCCUCGAUGAUGAGGUAAUUACUACUCGAUCACGCCGAGGUGCAGCAUGAGUUUAGGGGAAAUCAGAAAAUGGAAAAAAUUACUGUCCAACUGUGGUUCAAUGAUAUGCCUAACAGAACACAUGAAGAAAAACAAGGAAUUAGAAAAUGGAGCCAAUUAUUGUUCAUAUGUCAAGUUCGAUGAUAUGUUAGGUUUGCAUUUUGUGAUUGCGUUGUUCUUUUUUGAUUUUGGAGAGUGUCCUUGGUAAUUUUGACGAUUAUUAUUUUUUAGUUUUUUUUGCUUGCAUUUAAACACACAUAUGGUUGUUGAACUGGGGUUCUCGAAUGAUUGUCGGUUUUCUUUUCAGAAUAAGUGGUCUUAUAUUUGUGUAUCUUUCUGUGCAACUUUAAUAUGAGAGGUUAUUAAGGUAGGAGAUAUAGGAGGAAGAAGGGAGAGAGAAAAGUAAGGGAGAGAGUUAUACUUGUCAACUUUAAGUGGUCUUAUAGAGUUAUGCUUAAGAGUAAGGGAGAUAGUUCAUUUUUCUUGUUUCAGCCUUAAUUUUUAUGGUUUUUAGGGGUGUUUUGUUAGUUAGGCUUAAGAGCAAGAACCAGCGAAAGAGAAGUAUUUGAGAUUGUCCAACAAGUAAUAAGCUUGUCCUCAAUCAUCCAACCAUCUUUCUUGUAAAGAAAGAGGCUUCUCCUCUGGCAACCAAAGUCGUCCCUUGUUAACAGGUA